CGGUAGAGCAGGCGCUUCGUAAGCGUCAGGCCGUCGGUUCGAUUCCGACCGCUGGCU
rnacentral:tRNA from 1 species